CCUACGGGUGGCAGCAGUGGGGAAUAUUGGACAAUGGGCGAAAGCCUGAUCCAGCCAUGCCGCGUGUGUGAAGAAGGCCUUCGGGUUGUAAAGCACUUUCAGUGGGGAAGAAAGCCUUGGGGCUAAUACCCUCGAGGAAGGACAUCACCCACAGAAGAAGCACCGGCUAACUCCGUGCCAGCAGCCGCGGUAAUACGGAGGGUGCGAGCGUUAAUCGGAAUUACUGGGCGUAAAGCGCGCGUAGGCGGUCUGAUAAGCCGGUUGUGAAAGCCCCGGGCUCAACCUGGGAACGGCAUCCGGAACUGUCAGGCUAGAGUGCAGGAGAGGAAGGUAGAAUUCCCGGUGUAGCGGUGAAAUGCGUAGAGAUCGGGAGGAAUACCAGUGGCGAAGGCGGCCUUCUGGACUGACACUGACGCUGAGGUGCGAAAGCGUGGGUAGCAAACAGGAUUAGAUACCCCGGCAGUC
rnacentral:rRNA from 1 species